AACGGAGGAGGGAGGUUUCUUUUAUUUUUUAUUUUUUAUUAUUUUUUUUAUCCAAUUUGCCUUGGAUUUGAAGCAUAGACAAAGGACAUUAAACCGAGCGUAUUAACAAGCACACGACAGCCAAAAGCAGUUGGGAGUUAGAAACUCAAUUUCAAUCUGAAAAUUGCAUAAAAAAUAUGGCCGGGUUGGAAGAGUUAAGAAAGAAGCUCACUCCAUUGUUUGAUGCUGAGAAGGGAUUCUCCAGCGGCUCAACCUUAGAUCCUUCCGAUUCUUACACAUUGUCGGACGGUGGAACAGUAAACUUGUUGAGCAGAUCGUACGGAGUGUACAAUAUCAAUGAGCUUGGAUUGCACAAGUGCACGUCUUCUUCUGCGAUCGAUGAGAGCGAGACUGAGAAGACGUAUCGGUGUGCUUCGAAUGAGAUGAGGAUUUUCGGAGCCAUAGGAAGCGGUGCGAGCAGCGUUGUUCAGAGAGCUAUACAUAUUCCCACGCAUCGGAUUUUGGCGCUCAAGAAGAUCAAUAUCUUCGAAAAGGAAAAGAGGCAACAGUUGCUGACUGAAAUUCGGACACUGUGUGAAGCAGCUUGUUACGAAGGGCUUGUGGAAUUCCACGGGGCGUUUUAUACGCCAGACUCUGGCCAAAUCAGCAUAGCUUUGGAGUAUAUGGAUGGAGGAUCCUUGGCAGAUAUAUUGCGGUUGCGUAAAAGAAUACCAGAACCUGUUCUUUCGGCUAUGUUUCAAAAGCUUCUGCAUGGACUGAGAUAUUUGCAUGGUGUGAGGCACCUAGUUCACAGAGACAUAAAGCCUGCCAAUUUGCUUGUAAAUCUCAAGGGUGAGGCCAAAAUUACAGAUUUUGGAAUUAGUGCGGGAUUAGAGAAUUCAGUGGCGAUGUGUGCUACUUUUGUUGGGACUGUUACAUACAUGUCUCCUGAGCGGAUUCGAAAUGAUAAUUAUUCUUAUCCAGCUGAUAUUUGGAGCCUUGGUCUUGCUCUUUUUGAGUGUGGUACUGGAGAAUUUCCAUAUACAGCUAGUGAAGGACCUGUCAAUCUUAUGUUGCAGAUCCUGGAUGAUCCAUCACCAUCACCUUCUAAACACAAUUUUUCAUCGGAGUUCUGCUCAUUUAUCGAAACUUGUUUGCAGAAGAAUCCAGAUGAUAGACCAACAGCUGAGCAGCUACUUUCACAUCCCUUCAUUACAAAGUAUGAAGAUGGUCAAAUAGACUUGGCAUCAUUUGUUCAAAGUGUUUUUGAUCCAACACAAAAACUGAAGGAUUUGGCUGAUAUGCUUACAAUACACUAUUACUUGCUCUUCGAUGGGCCUGAUGAGCUCUGGCUGCAUACAAAGACCUUGUAUAAUGAAGAUUCAAUCUUCAGUUUCUCUGGAAAGCAAUCAGUUGGUUCAAAUGAUAUCUUUUCUACUCUCUCAAGUAUACGGAGUACAUUAGCAGGUGAUUGGCCACCUGAAAGACUUGUGCAUGUUGUGGAGAAACUUCAAUGUCGUUCUCAUGGUCAGGAUGGAAUUGCAAUAAGGGUUUCAGGAUCCUUUAUCAUUGGGAAUCAGUUCCUUAUAUGUGGAGAUGGUCUACAAGUAGAGGGCUUGCCAAGUUUUAAAGACCUUUCUAUCGAUAUUUCUAGUAAACGAAUGGGUACAUUUCGCGAGCAGUUCAUCCUGGAGCGAAGCAGUAUGAUUGGGUGCUAUCACAUUGCUAAACAAGAGCUUUAUAUCAUGCAGUGAUCAUGGAUUGCCUACCAGGCUAGUAGUUUCAACAUUCUUCGUGUAUUUUCCUGACUUGGAAGGAUGAAACGUUUCUUAUCAAUAUGUGGUGGCUGUUAGUUUGCAAUCAACUUUGAACAUUAAGCUUAUCCAAAAUGUUAAUAUACUAUUAGUUCUCCUUGGUAAAAGCGUAUAAGUUAUAUCCACUGAGGAGUACCAGAAUCUCAUCCCCAGCCCCUAUCUUUCCUGUUAAGGUUUUCCUCUACCUCCUGUGAAGAGCACAAAAAUGUUGUCUACAAGCUCCACAUCUUGCUAGCUGCUAAUGUGACAAAAUCUUCUCCAGCAUGAAACAGUUGGUAUCCGUAGCAUGCAGUUUGUCAGAAAGCAUAUAUACUUCAUAUAGCUAUAGAUGAAUGGCUUUGUCAGAUUUAGUGGAAAAGGGCGAAGCCUGGGCUUCUUUAUAGGCUAGAGUCUUUUUAAUGAACUCACUAUUAUCUUAUGAACAAAUCUUGGAUAUUUUGUUUGAUUAUAAGUGUUUCUCAGUGCUGUUUGGCUUUUGACUCGGAUCAGAAAAGGGUGGUUUAUAUUUGUUAAGGUCAUGGCAUCGAAUCUUGACUAGCAAGAGUUUGGAGUAGCUGUAACAGAGUGAAUGUUGAAGAUAAAUGCCAUCAUCCUCAAUCUAAACUUCGAUAGAGACGUACGAAUACCAGGAAAGAUCUCAACCAUCAACCCGCAAGAACUUGAAAAUAUGCAUCUUCUCCUGCCUGGUUUGUGUAGCUACACUUUGUAUGUUAUUCAUAAUCAAUGUUAAAAUUGAUACAGCAUAAA